UAAUGCUUGGGAAUCUAGCUUAUGGAGGGGGAUAACUACGGGAAACUGUAGCUAAUACCGCGUAGAAUCGGGAGAUGAAAGUGUGGGACCUUCGGGCCACAUGCCAUAGGAUGAGCCCAAGUGGGAUUAGGCAGUUGGUGAGGUAAAGGCUCACCAAGCCGACGAUCUCUAGCUGGUCUGAGAGGAUGACCAGCCACACUGGGACUGAGACACGGCCCAG
rnacentral:rRNA from 1 species